rnacentral:rRNA from 1 species
UACGUAGGGUGCAAGCGUUGUCCGGAAUUAUUGGGCGUAAAGAGCUCGUAGGCGGUUUGUCGCGUCUGCUGUGAAAACUCGGGGCUUAACUCCGGGCCUGCAGUGGGUACGGGCAGACUAGAGUGCGGUAGGGGAGACUGGAAUUCCUGGUGUAGCGGUGGAAUGCGCAGAUAUCAGGAGGAACACCAAUUGCGAAGGCAGCUCGCUGGGACGUAACUGACGCUGAGACGCGAAAGCGUGGGAGCAAACAGG